UGGCCGGACAAGUCCGUUGGGAAAUCCACCCGCCUAACGGGUGGGCGUCCAGCGGAAACUGUCCGGCUUGGGGCCGGACGACCCGAGGGGUACGUCCGGGGUAGGAGUGAAAUCCCGUAAUCCUGGACGGACCGCCGGUGGCGAAAGCGCCUCGGGAGGACGGACCCGACAGUGAGGGACGAAAGCCAGGGUCUCGAACCGGAUUAGAUACCCGGGUAGUCCUGGCCGUAAACGAUGCUCGCUAGGUGUGGCGCAGGCUACGAGCCUGCGCUGUGCCGUAGGGAAGCCGUGAAGCGAGCCGCCUGGGAA
rnacentral:rRNA from 1 species